AGUUUAGCUACACAGAUGGAGAAAUUAAUCAUUUAAGGGAAAAACGAGAUGUGAACACGGAUAUACUAGAAUACAUUGUAAUCAUAGAGGUGAAUGUGUCACAAGCGAUUUUGUUUGAGCAAAUCAAAUCAUCAUUGGAGUCCAUCAGUAGUUUCCAAAUAGACAACACCACAGAAAUCGAAAGCGUGAACAUUACAACAGUGUGUCACCCAAAUGGUUCUGAAUAUCA